GGGGAAGGCUCAAGAACCCCUCACAAAUCACUUGGUGAGGCUCGAAACAUUCUCCAAUCAUGAGCUCAACACGACCAAUGCUCCAAGCCGUCUAGGGCGUCGGGAAACACCCAAGAGUAACAUGAAAUCCACAGCAAACUCAAGAAUCAAGUGCCACUAAAUGCAACUCUCAAAGCAAUGCACUUGAAUCUCACUAGGAUUAGCAAUCAAGCAAGGAUAUGAGUGGAAGGAGUAUUCUCUAGCUCAAUGUAUUUCUCAAAUAAUCAAAUGUGCAAGAGAGAACCUCCCAAAGCCGGCCACCUUCUAUUUAUAAGCCCCCUCAAUAAAAGAGCCGUUGGCCACUUUCACCCUGCGUCCGGUGCUCUAGGGUUGGCCACGUGUCCUCCUUUGAAUCUCGCGCAUCAAUCUGUAACGGUCACCUGCGGACCACCGGACGUGACCAAGUGAGCACUGGACGCGUCCGGUACUCACCGGACUCAUGCGUAGAGAGUUUGUAAAACUA
rnacentral:lncRNA from 1 species